CCCAAGGACCUAAAUAUAUUUGAAGCAACAGAUCCUUACUAAUCCUAGAAGCUAAGCAGUGUCAACCCUGGUUAGUACUUGGCUAGAAGAUUGCUAAUGAGUACCAGGAUCUAUAGAC
rnacentral:rRNA from 11 species